GAAGCGGCAACAGCUCAAAUUUGAAAUCUGACCCUUGAGGGUCCGAGUUGUAAUUUGCAGAGGGUGUUUCGGGUACGGUGUCGGUUUAAGUCCUUUGGAACAGGGUGUCAUAGAGGGUGAGAACCCCGUAUGUGACCGGUCGCCAAACCCAUGUGAAACCCCUUCGACGAGUCGAGUUGUUUGGGAAUGCAGCUCAAAAUGGGUGGUAAAUUUCAUCUAAAGCUAAAUAUUGGCCAGAGACCGAUAGCGCACAAGUAGAGUGAUCGAAAGAUGAAAAGCACUUUGGAAAGAGAGUCAAACAGCACGUGAAAUUGUUGAAAGGGAAGCGCUUGCGACCAGACCUGCUCGCGGGUGAUCAGCGGUGCUUUUCGCGCCGUGCACUCGUCCGCGAUCAGGCCAGCAUCGGUUCAGGCGGCCGGAUAAAGACUCGGAGAAUGUAGCUCCCUCCGGGGAGUGUUAUAGCUCCUUGUGCAAUACGGCCAGCCGGGACCGAGGACCGCGCU
rnacentral:rRNA from 1 species